UACGUAGGGGGCAAGCGUUGUCCGGAAUCAUUGGGCGUAAAGAGCGUGUAGGCGGCCCGAUAAGUCCGCCGUGAAAGUCCAGGGCUCAACCCUGGAAUGCCGGUGGAAACUGUCGGGCUGGAGUCCGGAAGAGGCGAGUGGAAUUCCUGGUGUAGCGGUGAAAUGCGCAGAUAUCAGGAGGAACACCGAUGGCGAAGGCAGAUCUCUGGGCCGUAACUGACGCUGAGGAGCGAAAGCAUGGGGAGCGAACAGG
rnacentral:rRNA from 1 species